GGCAAUGCCGGUUUACGAACGGGAGAUGUGAUGAAUUGCGGCAGCAAUACUUGGAAUAUAAUGAAGAAGUGAAGCAAUAAUGAUUAAUGAUACCUAUGAUUUUUUUUUUUAUAAUGACAGAAGGACCGUGGAAGAAAAAACAUUUUGUGCAGCAUGUGAAAACUAAGAAAUAGAAUGAAAGAAGGGCUGCUACUUGUCAAACCAGCCACCUCCAGCUACCCGAAACCAGCCACCUCAUCAUCAUAGCAUGUUGCAUUGGGGCUCUGCUGGAGUUUGCUGAUGACACGAUGCUGAAGGGCUGAAGCUGGCAGCUGUGGCAAGAGUCCAGUGUCCACCAGCUCAAGAUCCGACGCCGCCGCGUCGCCGCCGUGCGGCACUCCGCGGAGACGGGGACGGCGGUCAUGAUUGAAGACACCGCACUAAUUCCCGCCUGGACUGUCCAGUGUCCGGUCGGAGACUGGUAAUCCCUCCGGUGAGCCGCACACCGUGGAGCUAGUUACUGCACCGCGCGUGUCCAACCGCAGCGCAGUGCCUGCAACGGUGCCGUGAGUGCGACAUCUGCGUGCAUAUGUGCAUACGACUCGCGGCUCAGUGUUAACUGUCAGUGUGACAGUGCGGCUCGCGCUCGUUUUAGCGAGGUGCUCUGUUGUAUAUAACCACCUUGAUGGAGAUCUAUGUGCUGCCGCUUGAGUUUCAAUGUACCUACAGUUUUAUACAUCAAACUAGCGUAAAUGGCUGUCAGAGGUCAAUUUGAAGCGCAAUUAGUACCCAUAACCCAGCUGGGUUGAACGAGUCAUGUGACUAGUCCCGAUGAACGUACUGUUUCGAUGUCGUCAGUCGUAGACUUUUGUAAACCAUUCGUUUCUGAGCUCUGUGUUGUGUUGUUCGGGAUCGUAGUUGUUUGAGCAGUUUGCUUUAUGCGUCGUACGCUGACAGAACGCUGGUCCUACACUAGUCAUGUGUUUCCUUUCGCUCCUAAUGGGUUACUGCGGUACCUAUGCAGUUGGAAUGUGUCUCGAGAGUCGAGACACUAACUGGUCGCACUUGGUUGUGAAAAUGACACUAACUGGUCGCACUUGGUUGUGAAAAUGACACUAACUGGUCGCACUUGGUUUCAAGCUGCGCUUGAAAAUUGUGCAAUUUUAUUUGCAUUUUGCAAUGUAAUUUUAUUGCCGUUAUCGUAUUAGUAGAUAGUGUCAAGAGUUGGCCAUUUGAUGCGUUGUCAGAAGCUGUUGCCUUUACUGACAAAUUGAUGGGCCGCGUUUGUGUUACUGUUAAGAAACGGAUCUCAAUAUAAGGUGAUUCAGAGGUAAGGUGAUUUCACCUGAAUGCAUUC